GGGGUUGUGGCUCAGUGGUAGAGUGCUCACCUGGCAUGCUUGAGGCACUGAGUUCAAUACUCAGCACCACA
rnacentral:tRNA from 1 species